rnacentral:piRNA from 2 species
UCAAAAAGUAAUAGGGAUCGUUAGC